UGUGAUGAUAUUCAUGACUAUUUAUUUUUAUUUUAAUAUUCAUGUACCUAAAAACUCUUCUCUCUCUCUACGAUUCUCUCUCGGUGCACGUCUUCUCCACGCUACACCGUCGCCAUUGCAGGAGCUCCAUGGGAAAGAAGAGGGAAGCAUGGUAAGUUCGGCUAAAAAACCGGGAAAACCACACAGACCAGAAUCUUUAUCGAUGACCUUGAAAUCGGUCGAUGACGUAGAUAGUGGGGAUUCCAGCUUCGGAUAUUGACUAUGAGAGGGAAAUCCUUUCUCCGACGGUCGGGACUGGCGGAGUUAUGGCGUCAAUCGGAAGCAAAAAAUCAGUUCUUAGAAUGGUUAGGGCCGGGGGGAUGAAAAGCGCUACGAGAAUUAGUUCGACGGAGGUAUAUUAUGUUUCUUCACCAAUUUCCUCACUCGCUUUUUCUGAGAAAUCAGGUUUUCAUGUUCCUUUAAAUCUUGAUUUUCGGUUCAUGUUAGCCCUAAAUCAACAUUGCGCCCUAAAUUCCAUAAACCUAAAGUGAAAUUACUUUAGAUGACAUUCAUGAUGAAAUUCAGUUUUGGGAUUCUUUGAUUGUCUGUUUUAUUUUGGGGCAAACCCACCCACAAAUGUGAUUGAUGGCUUUGUGCGAAGGGUGUAGGAGAAACUUGGGUUAGAUAAAGUAGAUGCGCUUGGUAAUGGGGUGCAUCGCUUUACUACUCUUGGAAACAGGGACAAAGUGUUAGCCAUGGGGUUUCAAUUUUUUGAUAAGAAACCAUUCAUUGUGAAACCUUGGGAAAAAACAAUGAGUAUGAAAAAAGAUGAUAUCAAGUAUGUCCUUUUAUGGAUCCAACUCCCUCAGUUGGAUUUCAUGUAUUGGGGAGAGAACAGUCUCUUCAAGAUAGUGGUUAUGGUUGAUAAACCCUUGAAAAUGGACCAAGCUACUUUGAUGAGGGAGAAACCACAUUUUGCUAGGGUACUUGUGAAGAUGAGCCUCACGAAUUACUUCCUUGAUUCAAUAGAAUAUGAAGAUGCAUAUGGGACAGUGAUGAACCAACACAUUGUGUAUGAAUGGAAGUCGGUUUUCUGUGGUGUUUGUAAAGGCAUGGGGGACUCUGCUGAGAAUUGUGUCAUGAAAACAAAAGUUGUAUGGCAGCCUAAGGUGCAAACACAGAAGCAUAUAUGUUGAAAAGGAAGUGGAGGGUGAUAGCUUUUAGGGGGCAAAGAGGAGCCUAAGACCUAUCAGAACCAUUGUGACUAGAAGUGUUACACCAACUAGAAACUCUUUUGAGGUGAUGCAUCGGGAGGAUGGGGAUCUACCCCAGUAAGGAGCUUGAGUGCAUGUGGCUCUUCAGAUGUGAGAGUGAUGGAGAUGACAUUGGGGAGGUUAAGGAUGCCUUUCUGAAUUUCUAUCAGACCUUACCGGGGUCAACUAUAGGGGUUAGGAAGCCUGUUAACCCAAUUGUACGUCAUUGCUAUGGGACCAGUUCUCACUGAAGAUCACCACCACCUCCUUAACAGAUGCAUCAAUGCAGAGGAAGUUAAGAAAGCCAUGUUCUCCAUUGGGAAUGAUAAAUCUCCUGGUAUGGAUGAGUGUGGCAGUAGAUUUUAUGAAAAUGCUUGGGGUAUUGUUGGUAAUGAAGUGGUGGAGGUUAUUCAAAACUUCUUCUCUAAUAGUAAAUUGUUAGAGAAUCUAAAUCCCACUUCUAUUACUAUGAUUUCCAAAACAAAUUGCCCUUCCACUGUGAUGGAUUUUAGACAUAUCUCAUGCUGCCAUGUCCUAUACAAAUGUAUCACAAAACUGUUAUGUUCAAGACUACAGUCAGUCCUCCUUGAUAUCAUAUCCAAGAAUCAAGGAGUUUUUCUUGAAGGAAGAAGUAUCCUUCACAAUGUUCUUAUUUGUCAUGACCUGGUGAAACACUACACAAAGAAGGCUAGUCAAAAGAGUUCCAUGAUAAAAAUUGGCAUCAAGAAAGCUUAUGACACAUUAGAUUGGAGUUUUGUGAAGAAAAUGUUCACUACUACAAAACGUGCCACAUUUGGACUCCAUAUCCUCGACGCGUGCGGCAUCGCGUCAGGGGAAAAAAGAAAUUCCGUGUUUCCUGGACGGUGUUUGGCGUCGAGAUGUGACCGACUACGUAAGUCGUCCAUAAUUCAUGUGCACUGCGUCCAUUAAACACGUGCCCCUGUACAUGAGGGAUAAGCCCGCUGAAUCUUCUAAUUUCGAGUUAACCGCCCAACUCGACCCACUACCACCACUCUCCCAACAGAAACCCUAAACUGAUUUAUACUCUGCAAAUCCAAUCUUCUCGCUAAUUCGAUCACCACCCCUUCGUCAAUUCAUCUCAGAGUCACAGUCGCGGACACCAUUAGAGCUUCUUCAAUUCACAUUCAAUUUCGCGGCUUUGUGUUGGAAUUUUCGAGUUGCUAUAUAGUAAGGGAUGACUUAUCGCAAGAAGGUUCGAGCUACUGCUGAAACAGAUGCUACUGGAUCAGCAUCAAAGUCGCUACCUUCACGUACCUCAUCUUUGAGUGAAGCUGCAUCACAACCAAUCAAAAAGCAUGCUACUCAAUCACAACCAUCUCAGGUUCCUAAGUCUGUUAUAUUUGGACCAUUCUCUCCACCGGGUACAACUACAUCGAUGGUUGCACCUCCAUGUUCGAGUACUGCAAAAAGUGCGCAGCAAGCUAUAUGGAAAACACCACCUACUGGAUCAGCAUCAAAUUCACUCGAGGCAUCAACUAAAAAUAAAAUUCCACCUAAGAUUACUUCCAAGAUUUCAACUCAACCUAAUAUCCCACCUUCAAAAUCACUGAAAUACCCUUCUACUUCCUCCGGUCAGAUCCCACCUAAUAUGCCAUCUCUUGUGCCGCCUUCUAGUCAUACUAAAACAUCAGCAAGAGAUUCUCAAUCACAACAGAAAAGUGUUCAAGAACCAAAGGAGAACUCAACAAAAUCGAAGUCCUUCCGGGAAUAUCCAGAUUGGCGCGAAAAUGUAGAUUUUGAUGACAAGGAAGAGGUUAUGACCAUUGAUGCUAAGGGUAAUUAUGGAGUGGCGAGUGGUCCUAUUCAGGCAAUCGAUGUCUGGAGUAACAACGGCGUCAAGUACUUUGUUGAAUUCAAUGACUUAUGUCAACCGCUUAGGAAAGGUGGACAGAUCCUGGUCAAAUUCAUUGGUAGCCUUGCAAAGAUGAAGCCUUACUGUCCAGUUGGAGAAACAAAUUGGAAAGAUGUCGAUGGGGCUUUAAAAGGAAAAUUGAUAGACGAGAUAAAAGAUCGCUUUGUUAUUCCUGAUGGUUCGGUAUACGUCACGCAAAUUCUCAAGCGUGCCAAUAAAAGCUGGAAGCACUAUAAAUACUCUCUCAAGAAAGAUUACUACAAACCAGAGGAGAAAACAGAAGAACAGAUGGUUAGAGAAGCAGUGCCGCGACAUGGAAUUAGCGGUAAAGAGUGGGUAAAGUUGGUUAGAUAUUGGUAUUCAGAUAAAGGGAAAAAAUUGUCAGAAUGUGGAAAAGAAGCACGAGCCUCCCAAACUCAAUUUCACAGAUCUGGUUCUAAUAGCUAUGCAAACCAACAAGCUGAUUAUGAAGACGAGCAUGGAGUAAAAAUGAGCUUAUUAGCCCUUUGGAUAAAGACUCAUUCGGGCAAGGAUGAUGCAAAGGCCAAGGUUGAAUCGCUGAAGACUGUAGGUCCUUCUAAGUCUCAACAAGAACUCGAAAAUGAAGCCUUUGAGGACACUAUGCAUGGUGGAAAGAUACUAGAACGUCCAGUAGGUUACGGACUUGGAGUUCGAAAGAGCGACGUUUAUGGAGUGCAUGGUGUGCUAAGGAAGAAUGGGUAUGGAAAAAUCCGUCAUAGGACCGUGGUGAUGGAAAAUGUGAAAGAAGAAGUAUCAGCUAUCAACAAGAAAAAUGAAACACUGGAGAAGGAAAAUGGAAAGCUGCAAGAGCAAGUGAAAGAGAAUAAUUGGCUGCUUAAAACUCUUAUUGGACAAUUUUCUCAACUUGUAGGUCAAGUUCGUACGGGAACUGCUUCAACAAAAGCUCUUGAUUGUGCACAACAAGUCUUGGGAAUGGCACAUCAAAGGCUUCACUCAAAGAUGAGGUACGUGAAGGUAGCAACUUUGAUGCUGAUCCGGUAGCAUCUGUUUCAGCAGUAGCUCGAACCCUCUUGCGAUAAGUCAUCCCUUACUAUAUAGAAACUGCAAGACAAGUCACAAAAAAACAGAAUAUCAGCAAGCAAGGCAACAGAACAACUGUACGGACUGAACUAAUGAAAACAACUGAACUGAACAAAUGAACAACUGAACUGAACAAAAGAACAAAUCAGAACAAACUGAACUGAACAAAUGAACAACUGAACUGAACAAAUGAACAAAUCAGAACAAACUGAACUGAACAAAUGAACAAUUGAACGUCAUUUAACUAAUGAAAACAACUGAACUGAACAAAUGGACAAAUCAGAACAACUGAUCUAAUGAAAACUGAACUGAACAACUGAACUAAACAAAUACAUUAUAUUCAUACCUUGUUGUAUCCAGUUAUAUAUUGAAUAGUCCAUAACUCCAUACCCAUUGUAUUAGUCUGAUUUCCUAAUUCUAGCUAAUACAAAUAUCUGCUACCCUGUUUUGUUUGGCUUUCUUUUUAGUCGAAUACAAUAUCAAAAAGCACAGAAAAUCAGGUUGAUUCUUACCACACCCCUGCUUGAGAAAGCACAGAAAAUGAGGCUAUGUGCUAAGUGCUAAAUGAAUUAAACUAAGGUCUAAGGAGAGCAGGGUAAGAAAUCAUCACCAGACUCUUCCUGUUCUUGAAAUAAUAAGCUACAACAUUGUCAAGAAGAUCUAAAUAACACGAGCCUGAAAUUCAAGACCCAAGUCCAAACAAGUCCAGUUCACCCUGAUCACACAAGUCCAAACAACAUGAAAUGUCAUCUUGUGUAGCUAUGGCAGAUAAGUAGUCCUCUGAUUCUAGAGAUUCGCAGACAGCAAGUUGGCACUAAAUCAAGCAAGGAGAAAAAUCUUUGAUGGAAAUAGCAGUUCAAAGGACUAGUACAUAUUAUGACCAAGAGCCGGCCCACCAUCAAAAAAUCUAUCAGGAAUUAAGGAAAUACGACACAUGCCACAAAAACCAUCCCCAAGGAAUAAAAAAAGUAUCCAAGAAGUAAGCAAAUGGCAGCCAUUAGUCUCCUAAUUAGCAGCUAUGUAGUUACAUAAAUCUAGCCUAGAAUAUUGCUAAUUCGUAACUGUUAACUUGUAUAUAUUCAUACUACACAAUCAAUGAGAAGGCAGGGAAACCAAUUCUCACAUUUAGUAUUGAGUAUUUUACAAAACACAUCAGCAACAUGAAUAAAUACACAAUGAACCUACUGCAACAGAACGUACAAACCCGUCCUUAGCCCAAUCGAUCAUGUAGAACAUAACACUACAACAUGAAGGGCACCCAGCAACAACAGAAGCACCCAAUACCCCCUUGCAACAACAACACCACAUAAUUUAUGCUUUCAAACAGAAUUGACAGUCACAUUGUUGUUCUAGCAAUUGAAGUUCUUUUUGGAUCGGUUUAUGCAUAAACAAACUAAUUUUCUAACAAACUGAUUUUAUCAAUAAAUUUAAAUGCUAAACAUUCAUAAGAUAAUACCAUGUCAGUACCAAACCAACUAGAGAAUCAAAAGUUAUCAAAAUUAACAUAAUAAUGUUUGAAAUUCAUAGGUUUCUACAUAAUCACAUAUAUAGCAAUCAAAAUGAAAAUAUCAAAGAGAAUUGAAAGAACAGGAAAACACGAAUGGACAAGAUUGAAUGUGGUACCUCGAAAAUUCCAACACAAAGCCGCGAAAUUAAAUGUGAAUUGAAGAAGCUCUAAUGGUGUCCGCGACUGUGACUCUUGGAAUUCAUGAGAAAGAUGAAGAAUUUAAUAAAAAAAAAAUUAUCAGAUUGAGCAACAAAAGAAGAAAGAAAAAGAAAAGGAAUUGGCGACAAACCUGAGAUGAAUUGAUGAAGAGGUGGUGAUCGAAUUAGCGAGAAGAUUGGCUUUGUGGAGUAUAAAUCAGUUUAGGGUUUCUGUUGGGAGAGUGGUGGUAGUGGGUCGAGUUGGGCGGUUAACUCGAAAUUAGAAGAUUCAGCGGGCUUAUCUCUCAUGUACAGGGGCACGUGUUUUAUGGACGCAGUGCACAUGAAUUAUGGACGACUUACGUAGUCGGUCACAUCUCGACACCAAACACCGUCCAGGAAACACGUAAUUUCUUUUUUCCUUUGACGCGAUGCCGCACGCGUCAAGGAUAUGGCGUCCAAAUGUGGCACGUUUUGUAGUAGUGUAUGGAGGACAGAAUCAAGGGGAUCUUGAUGCUGGCUGGUACUGAAUCAAGGAAUGUUUGUAGGCUACAUAUUACUCACAAUUCUGCUGGGGUGUUGUUAUCGGUUGCUCAAACUCAGUAAUCAAGCUGUUGUGCUCAACUUUAUGACACAAUCAGGACAGCAUGUAAAACUGAUCGCCUUGGAAGAUGCUUGAUCACAGUGCUUAUUUUAUUGUACGGACAGAUUCACCAAGGUUUUAGCCUGUAUUCCCUUUUUCUGGUUUCCUGGUGGUCAAAUUAUAUGAUAUAUGUUGUUCUCCAAUCACCUAUUCUCAUUAUAUGAUAUAUGAUUUCAAAAUCUUCUGCAUA